rnacentral:rRNA from 1 species
CCUACGGGUGGCAGCAGUGAGGAAUAUUGGUCAAUGGGCGUAAGCCUGAACCAGCCAAGUCGCGUGAGGGAUGAAGGUUCUAUGGAUCGUAAACCUCUUUUAUAAGGGAAUAAAGUGUGGGACGUGUCCUAUUUUGUAUGUACCUUAUGAAUAAGGAUCGGCUAACUCCGUGCCAGCAGCCGCGGUAAUACGGAGGAUGCGAGCGUUAUCCGGAUUUAUUGGGUUUAAAGGGUGCGCAGGCGGCCUGUUAAGUCAGCGGUAAAAGCCCGGGGCUCAACCCCGGCGAGCCGUUGAAACUGGCGGGCUGGAGUUGGAGAGAAGUACGCGGAAUGCGCGGUGUAGCGGUGAAAUGCUUAGAUAUCGCGCAGAACCCCGAUUGCGAAGGCAGCGUACCGGCUCCACACUGACGCUGAGGCACGAAAGCGUGGGUAUCGAACAGGAUUAGAUACCCUGGUAGUC